rnacentral:misc_RNA from 1 species
AGACGAUGGAAAGUCAUUUACCAUUCUAAAAUGGAGUUGUGAUAAUAACAAAGAGCACUCAAAAAGAGUACUCGUUGCAACCAGACUACUCAAACCUUCCCGAAUACUACAGAUCUUUUACUCAUGGAUAGAACAAUAAUACAAAUGCCGUUUUAUUUACAAAACUAUGAAGACUUGCUGACCAAAAUGUUAGCAUUUAGUAAUGAUACAAAGAAAACACCUCCCACUAUACACAUUAUAAAUCAAGGGACAAAGGGACCAGAAAAAAAUUAAUAAUUUGCAGGAACCACUAGAAAUAUCAUUACAUCCAUUCACACGCUCAGCCCUUUCAGGUCCCUGCAAAUUUCCGCGCUGGUCAAGGGUUGGUUCAAGAAAAUCAAUCUGAUGAGGCUCCAUUUUGUAGAAUAAUCUUCGAGCUGAAGACAUAUCUACGAUCUUUUGUUCCUCCGAUGAAACAGCCACAGAUUCUUUUAAGUCUCCAUUAAUUACCGGAUUGUAGUUCUUCCUAGAGAUGAUGCUCCAAUUUCACUGUCAGUGUUCUGCAAUUGUAGUUCAUCCUUACAUGAGUUAGUCUUUAGCAAGCCUAGAAAAAAAAAAUACAAACUAAAAUAUUAUUAAAGAAUUUGAUUUUCUAAGUACAUGUAACAAGAAUCAUGUCCAAUUCUGACAACCGCACCUAUGAUACAGUAAGCUGAUAUUUUGGGGGAUAGCAAAUAAAGUUAUAGGAAACUUCCAAUUCCAUUUAUUGGUAAAAAACAACCAUUGUUUUUCUUUACCAAAGUUAUUGUUGCACCCAUCCUAUGAAAAUAAACUGAAACUAUAAAUUUUGUGUAUUAGAGGAAACAUCCAUAAGAACAGAGAAUUGGGUGAGAAUCGUAACAUAUACUAAGACCAUAUUGGACUAUCAAACAUAGCUGCUGUUGUGGUGGGAUUGAAUUAAUGAUAUUCACAAAGAAUUUACCUGAGAUUUAGGGGAAGGGAACACAUUCCAAAACCGUAGAGUUUCAUCCCCUGCUCCCGUGACAAUGGUCUGAAGCAUAUAAUAUAGCUUAGGAAAGAAUAAGAACUAACAUAAAAUAAAUACUUUGCAUGACUGCUUAUAUAUCUAGAAAAAGAACAACUACAGUUAAUUAAUGGAGGAUGAACUACCUGUCCAUCUGGUGAGAUGGCAAGAUAAAGUACUCUGUAUGUAUGACCAGUAAGAGUUGCCAACUGGAAGAGCAGAAUAAAUCUUAAGAGUUAAAGACACAGCUAACAAGAGAUAAUUUUGUGAGUAUAAUAAAAAACACAACAAAUUUAGCACCUUUGACAUGGUGGGGUAUCUCCAUACUAUUAUUUGGUUUUGAGAGUACCCAUGAGUGCUGACAAGUUCAUUGACAUUCUUAGACCACACAAGAUUGCACACCUGACUGCCAGUGUCCAUGCAGCUGAGAUGUGAAUUACUGGUCGUAUUCCAGAACCUUACACACCGAUCUGCAGUCCCACCACCAGAUGCAAGAAGUCCAUGAAGAUGGGGUGACCAAGCAAUUGCUUUUACAGCCGCAGUAUGCUCACAGUAUUUUAGCACAGGUUGAGUUGAAUGUUGAUUCCAAACAAAAAGUCUGUUAUCAUUCCCACCAGAUGCCAACUCACGAUUAUCAUAAGACCACUUUAAUCCACAGACCUCUGACUUGUGCCCGGAGAGUUUGCUAACGAAGUCUUCCUGAGCACGUAUAUCUCGUUGAAGAAUACUCUUAUCCCGGCUACCAGAAGACAACACAGAUGAACUCCAGGCCAAGGCCCCAACACGUAAUCGAUGGCCCUCCAUGGUUCUUACUCUUUUACAGCGAGAUGCAUCCCAAAUCUGGACUUUCCCAUUACUAGUUCCAACAGCUAGAUGUGUUCCACGCUGAGCCCAUCCCACUGAACACACACUAUCGUCAAUCCCCAAAUCACACAAUUUUGUCACCUUGCUACUACAAGCAUUCCACAAAUACACACAAUUCCCCAAACCCACUGCUAGUACAUUAUGCGACGACCAGUCCACUAAAUUCAAAUAAAAAUCAUCUUGCAAUGCGGGUGCGUCCAAUACCUUAUAAGGUGAUCUUGGGACCUUCCUCGGAGUCUUAACAGGGCUAUGGCUAACGCCAGGUCUCUCGUCAUCAUAACCAAAAGGCGAAAGCGAGUGCAUUGACUGUCUCGUCUCCGUCUUGAACCGGAAAAUAUUGCGUCCCGGCGAGUCCCUUUUAUCCGGCGUGUUGGAUCCAAAAAGAGCAGAGCGGAGGAGUGCUGCGUAGGCACUGGAGCUGUCCUCCUUUCCUCCGUCAGACGCCGGAGGAUUCGUCGACAAUGGAGGCGAAGACGACGAGAUGUUGAAUAGGGCAAAAUUGGAGUUGGAUCUGCUAGGAAUAAACCUAUCGGAAUAAAUCGUUCUUGACGGAGAUAUAUAGUGGUUGGAAUUGAUCAAGCGGCUCACGUGGUCAGAUGGAGUUAGGGUUUCGAGAUUCAGAGACGGGCGUGGCAUGAUGGCAGGAACAUUCAGCUGGGACGAAGGAACUGAUUGGACAGUCAAUGGUGAAAUCGUGGGAUCAUCCAUUGGAGAUUAUGACACUGCACAACACAGAAACCCUAGAGAGAUAAAAAGAAAGGGGUUGAGGUUGAAGAAGAUGGGUGGGAUUGGGCUUAGGCGCUGGCGGGUAUAGCGUACAUAUAUGUGAGAUUGCGUUUGGUGUCAGGCUGUUAAUUUUCCCGGGAAAUAAUUGUCAACCUACGCUAAGCUGCCUGAUUUUUU